GUCUGUGUGAGUCUCUGUGUGUCUCUCUGUGUAUCUGUGUGUCUCUCUGUGUCUCUGUGUGUGUCUCUGUGUCUCUGUGUGUCUCUGUGUGAGUCUGGACACCCCCAGUGCCGCUCACACUUUGCGUUGUGCUGCUGCCGCUCCCCUGGGUAAGGACUGGAGCAGGCUGGCGGGAUGGAGGCACAGAACUCUGACCUUAGUUUACUUCAUUCAAAUGAGAUGCCAAUGAUAUGCUAAUUGUAUGCUAAUUGUAUGCCAAUUGUAUGCCAAUUAUAUGCUAAUUGUAUGCUAAUGGUACAAACAAAGACAGUGUUAGGGAUUGGUGUUGAGUGGAGACCACGGGUCGCAGGGUCAGUGUCUAGAGUGGAGACCAGGUCCCAGUGUCUAGAGUGGAGACCAGGUGUCAGUGUCUAGAGUGGAGACCAGGUGUCAGUGUCUAGAGUGGAGACCAGGUCCCAGUGUCUAGAGUGGAGACCAGGUCCCAGUGUCUAGAGUAGAGACCACGGGUCCCAGUGUCUAGAGUGGAGACCAGGGGUCCCAGUGUCUAGAGUGGAGACCAGGGCCCAGUGUCUAGAGUGGAGACCAGGUCCCAGUGUCUAGAGUGGAGACCAGGGCCCAGUGUCUAGAGUGGAGACCAGGUCCCAGUGUCUCGAGUGGAGACCAGGUCCCAGUGUCAGUGUCUCGAGUGGAGACCAGGUCCCAGUGUCUAGAGUGGAGACCAGGCCCCAGUGUCUAGAGUGGAGACCACGGGACCCAGUGUCUAGAGUGGAGACCAGGUCCCAGUGUCAGUGUCUCGAGUGGAGACCAGGUCCCAGUGUCUCGAGUGGAGACCACAGGUCCGAGAGUCUAGAGUGGAGACCAGGUCCCAGUGUCUGUCUAGAGUGGAGACCAGGGGUCUCAGUGUCUAGAGUGGAGACCAGGGGUCCCAGUGUCUAGAGUGGAGACCAGGGGUCCCAGUGUCUAGAGUGGAGACCAGGGGUCCCAGUGUCUAGAGUGGAGACCAGGGGUCCCAGUGUCUAGAGUGGAGACCAGGUUCCAGUGUCUAGAGUGGAGACCAGGUCCCAGUGUCAGUGUCUAGAGUGGGGACGAGGUCCCAGUGUCUAGAGUGGAGACCAGGGGUCCCAGUGUCUCGAGUGGGGACCAGGGGUCCCAGUGUCUAGAGUGGAGACCAGGUCCCAGUGUCUCGAGUGGAGACCAGGUCUCAGUGUCAGUGUCUAGAGUGGGGACCAGGUCCCAGUGUCUCGAGUGGAGACCAGGGGUCCCAGUGUCUAGAGUGGAGACCAGGUCCCAGUGUCUAGAGUGGAGACCAGGUGUCAGUGUCUAGAGUGGGGACCAGGGGUCCCAGUGUCUAGAGUGGAGACCAGGUCCCAGUGUCUCGAGUGGAGACCAGGUCUCAGGGUCAGUGUCUAGAGUGGAGACCAGGUCCCAGUGUCUAGAGUGGAGACCAGGUCUCAGGGUCAGUGUCUAGAGUGGAGACCAGGUCCCAGUGUCUAGAGUGGGGACCAGGUCCCAGUGUCAGUGUCUAGAGUGGAGACCAGGGGUCCCAGUGUCUAGAGUGGAGACCAGGGGUCCCAGUGUCUAGAGUGGAGACCACGGGUCCCAGUGUCUCGAGUGGAGACCAGGGGUCCCAGUGUCUAGAGUGGAGACCAGGUCCCAGUGUCUCGAGUGGAGACCAGGUCCCAGUGUCUCGAGUGGAGACCAGGGGUCCCAGUGUCUAGAGUGGAGACCAGUUCCCAGUGUCUAGAGUGGAGACCAGGUCCCAGUGUCUAGAAUGGAGACCAGGUCCCAGUGUCUCGAGUGGAGACCAGGUCCCAGUGUCUAGAGUGGAGACCAGGGGUCCCAGUGUCUAGAGUGGAGACCACGGAACCCAGUGUCUAGAGUGGAGACCAGGUCCCAGAGUGGAGACCAUGGGUCUCAGUGUCUCGAGUGGAGACCAGGUCCCAGUGUCUAGAGUGGAGACCAGGUCCCAGUGUCUAGAGUGGAGACCACGUCCCAGUGUCUAGAGUGGA